UAACAUUUCUUUUUGACAGAUACCUAUGACAAUAGUUGUAGACAAGACCAUAACUUCCAAGAAAUAAUGAACACGUACUUCACUCACCUACCUUCCCAUCACACUGUUACGACCAUACAGUGCCACACUCGUAAUAAAGUCUGGGAUGAUCUUCUCCGCCUGAGCAAUAUGAACACCAGAUGCUUAGAUGAUUUUAUCUCUCAUAUGAAAGCUGCUUAUGAUUAUAACCACGAGCCAAACUGCUAUCAUGCGUGCCAAAGCUCCACCCAGG